AUGAUGCUUAAAUUGCGAACAAUUUUGGCAAGAAAGGUGAAGCAUGAAGACUUAAAAUGCUGGAUUCAAGCUCAAUGGAGGGAGAAUCUGUACCUGAUGCUUAAAGAAAAACACCAAGAAUCCCAGAAGUUCCUCAGAAAAGCAGAGUUGGUCAAAAAGGCAUUUGUGGAGCUUCAGGCGGAACACAUGAGCUCUCACCAGUGGAUCUGCACUAUGUUCCUGGCUGGCCUGCUGCCUUCUCCGAGGUGAGUCUACCUGACUGUGAUGUUCUCAGAUGCUUCUCCAGCUCCUUAUGUCUACUGCCUCUGUAGUUUAAAAAUUCUGUAGUACAAAAACCUGUGUUUAUACACGUAGCAACCUAUGAAGUCAAGACAUCAAUAAGGGCUUCUCUCUGCUGAAGCUGCAUGGGAAAAAAAAAACAACCCUCAAAUACAUACUACUUUACUUGGAUGCAGUGGGCAAAUCACAUAAGAAGGUUAGUCUUUUAUUUUUACAGACGAGGAAGAAAGGUGUAAGUGGGGUCAGUCAUGAAGAGUAGAUAGGGAAUAAACUCAGAGUUAUAUACCUUAAUUAUAAGGUU
rnacentral:lncRNA from 1 species